rnacentral:rRNA from 1 species
CCUACGGGAGGCUGCAGUGGGGAAUAUUGGGCAAUGGGCGCAAGCCUGACCCAGCAAUGCCGCGUGAAGGAAGAAGGCCUUAGGAUUGUAAAAUUCUGUUCUAUGGGAAGAAAAAAAUGACGGUACCUUAGGAGUAAGCCCCGGCUAACUACGUGCCAGCAGCCGCGGUAAUACGUAGGGGGCGAGCGUUGUCCGGAAUUACUGGGCGUAAAGGGCGCGUAGGCGGCACUACAAGUCUCAUGUGAAAUAUCCGGGCUUAACCUAGAGGUUGCAUGUGAAACUGUAGUGCUUGAGUACAGGAGAGGCAAGCGGAAUUCCGAGUGUAGCGGUGAAAUGCGUAGAUAUAAGGAGGAACACCAGUGGCGAAGGCGGAUUGCUGGACUGUAACUGACGCUGAGGCUCGAAAGCGUGGGGAGCAAACAGGAUUAGAUACCCGGGUAGUC